GGGGGAGGUGAUGCUAUACCUUCUCGAGGUCUCCCCUGUGAGUAGUGUAUUCCUGGUCAGUUUUCCGAAUCUCUCAAAGAUUUUUCCACGGAUCAAACAAUGAAUACACGAAACCAAAUAGCA
rnacentral:ribozyme from 1 species